rnacentral:rRNA from 1 species
UAGGGAAUCUUCGGCAAUGGACGGAAGUCUGACCGAGCAACGCCGCGUGAGUGAAGAAGGUUUUCGGAUUGUAAAGCUCUGUUGUUAGAGAAGAACGUUGGUAGGAGUGGAAAAUCUACCAAGUGACGGUAACUAAACAGAAAGGGACGGCUAACUACGUGCCAGCAGCCGCGGUAAUACGUAGGUCCCGAGCGUUGUCCGGAUUUAUUGGGCGUAAAGCGAGCGCAGGCGGUUCUUUAAGUCUGAAGUUAAAGGCAGUGGCUUAUCCAUUAUACGCUUUGUAAACUGGAAGACUUGGUUGCAGGAGGGGAGAGUGGUUUUCUGUGUGUGGCGAUAAAUAACAUAACUAUAUGAAGGCUCGCCGGAAACGAAAGAGGCUCUCUAGUCUGUAACUGACGCUGAGGCUCGAAGGCGUAGGGAGCAAACAGG